UACGGAGGGUGCAAGCGUUAUCCGGAUUCACUGGGUUUAAAGGGUGCGUAGGUGGGUUGGUAAGUCAGUGGUGAAAUCUCCGGGCUUAACCCGGAAACUGCCAUUGAUACUAUUUGUCUUGAAUACUGUGGAGGUCAGCGGAAUAUGUCAUGUAGCGGUGAAAUGCUUAGAUAUGACAUAGAACACCAAUUGCGAAGGCAGCUGGCUACACAAAUAUUGACACUGAGGCACGAAAGCGUGGGGAUCAAACAGG
rnacentral:rRNA from 1 species